AGCGGCGAACGGGUGAGUAACACGUGGGUGAUCUGCCUUGCACUUCGGGAUAAGCCUGGGAAACUGGGUCUAAUACCGGAUAUGACCACGGGAUGCAUGUCUUGUGGUGGAAAGAUUUAUCGGUGCGAGAUGGGCCCGCGGCCUAUCAGCUUGUUGGUGAGGUAACGGCUCACCAAGGCGACGACGGGUAGCCGACCUGAGAGGGUGACCGGCCACACUGGGACUGAGACACGGCCCAGACUCCUACGGGAGGCAGCAGUGGGGAAUAUUGCACAAUGGGCGAAAGCCUGAUGCAGCGACGCCGCGUGCGGGAUGACGGCCUUCGGGUUGUAAACCGCUUUUGACAGGGACGAAGCGCAAGUGACUGUACCUGUAGAAUAAGGACCGGCCAACUACGUGCCAGCAGCCGCGGUAAUACGUAGGGUCCGAGCGUUGUCCGGAAUUACUGGGCGUAAAGAGCUUGUAGGCGGUUCGUCACGUCGUUUGUGAAAACUUGGGGCUCAACCUUAAGCUUGCAGGCGAUACGGGCGGACUAGAGUACUUCAGGGGAGACUGGAAUUCCUGGUGUAGCGGUGAAAUGCGCAGAUAUCAGGAGGAACACCGGUGGCGAAGGCGGGUCUCUGGGAAGUAACUGACGCUGAGAAGCGAAAGCAUGGGUAGCAAACAGGAUUAGAUACCCUGGUAGUCCAUGCCGUAAACGGUGGGUACUAGGUGUGGGGCUCCUUCCACGGACUCCGUGCCGUAGCUAACGCAUUAAGUACCCCGCCUGGGGAGUACGGCCGCAAGGCUAAAACUCAAAGAAAUUGACGGGGGCCCGCACAAGCGGCGGAGCAUGUGGAUUAAUUCGAUGCAACGCGAAGAACCUUACCUGGGUUUGACAUACACCGGAAACCUGCAGAGAUGUAGGCCCCCUUGUGGUCGGUGUACAGGUGGUGCAUGGCUGUCGUCAGCUCGUGUCGUGAGAUGUUGGGUUAAGUCCCGCAACGAGCGCAACCCUUAUCUUAUGUUGCCAGCGCGUAAUGGCGGGGACUCGUGAGAGACUGCCGGGGUCAACUCGGAGGAAGGUGGGGACGACGUCAAGUCAUCAUGCCCCUUAUGUCCAGGGCUUCACACAUGCUACAAUGGCCGGUACAGAGGGCUGCGAUACCGCGAGGUGGAGCGAAUCCCUUAAAGCCGGUCUCAGUUCGGAUCGGGGUCUGCAACUCGACCCCGUGAAGUUGGAGUCGCUAGUAAUCGCAGAUCAGCAACGCUGCGGUGAAUACGUUCCCGGGCCUUGUACACACCGCCCGUCACGUCAUGAAAGUCGGUAACACCCGAAGCCGGUG
rnacentral:rRNA from 1 species